rnacentral:rRNA from 1 species
GACGAACGCUGGCGGCGUGCCUAAUACAUGCAAGUCGAACGCAUUUUCUUUCACCGUAGCUUGCUACACCGAAAGAAAAUGAGUGGCGAACGGGUGAGUAACACGUGGGUAACCUGCCCAUCAGCGGGGGAUAACACUUGGAAACAGGUGCUAAUACCGCAUAAUUCCAUUUACUGCAUGGUAGAUGGAUGAAAGGCGCUUUUGCGUCACUGAUGGAUGGACCCGCGGUGCAUUAGCUAGUUGGCGGGGUAACGGCCUACCAAGGCUGCGAUGCAUAGCCGACCUGAGAGGGUGAUCGGCCACACUGGGACUGAGACACGGCCCAGACUCCUACGGGAGGCAGCAGUAGGGAAUCUUCGGCAAUGGACGCAAGUCUGACCGAGCAGCGCCGCGUGAGUGAAGAAGGUUUUCGGAUCGUAAAACUCUGUUGUUAGAAAAGAACAAGGAUGAGAGUGGAAAGUUCAUCCCUUGACGGUAUCUAACCAGAAAGCCACGGCUAACUACGUG